rnacentral:tRNA from 1 species
GACAACAUGUCCGAGUGGUUAAGGAGCCAGACUUGAAAUCUGGUGGCUUCGGCCGCGUAGGUUCGAACCCUGCUGUUGUCG